UGUGUUGAGAAGGAAACUGCUUCCUCGUCCCCUCCUCCCAAGCCAGGGGCCUCUUUCAUUUCAGUCCAGCAGAUGAUGCCUGCAGAGCUCUCCCAUGGAGCACUGCUGUAGCAGAGAAAAGCUUUUUCCCUUUACACAGCUGCUUCCCUACUCUGUUCUAUUAAAUGACCACAAAGACUCCUCAGAGCUACCAGAGCACCACAUCUAGAGUCUUCAAACUGAGCUGGAAAGCAGAGCUGGCAAGAAAAAUUUUCAAUCCUACUAUUCAUCAGAAUUAUCUAGUUCACCAAAAUCAACCUGCAUUAUUUCAACCAACCUCCGACAGGCUUUGGAGAGCAGGCAGGCCAGAGAGAUGGCACUUGACAGGCUUUUUCCAGAAAUCUAGCUACACACAGCAGCCCGAGAUCAGAGCCUAAAGUUUGGGAGCCUGUAUUACCAGGGGCUUGGAUGCCUUCAUCAAGGAUGUCAUGGUGUCUGGGUCUCUGCAUCCACAGCCAUCUGCUAUCCUAAUCCUGAACCUGGGGGGCCUGGAGCCCUGAUAGCUCUCUAAUGAACCCCUCCUGCCUCCUGCUGGGUUGACAGGAGAAGGAUGAGGUAGGCGAGGAUGCCUUUUGUCCACCCAUGAUUCUGCUGUUGGGACACUGAAACGGCAGGUGUCACACGGACUGCAGUCAAAAGUUUCUGGGAUGCUUGGCUCUAUUCUACUCAUACAGAUGAAGUGCUUGAGAUCCCAGGGAACACUUCAUUUGGGGAACAACAGUUUCUUGUCUCUCCAAAAGAAAAUAUCUUGGGAUUUUUAGUCUGAAAACAGUUUUGAAUUUUCAGGUUUCAUUCUGCUUCCAGGCAAUAAAACUGCCUUCCAGUCACCUUCACUGGUGACUUUUCUGAAGUUCAGCCU